CGAAAAUUUGACGCGGAUCAGUUGGCUGAUUUGGAGCUCAAGGAAUUUUUGGCGUCUGAUGAAAGUGAAAGUGAUGACGGAGAGGACCAAACAGACAAAAAGCAUAAGAAAGGAGAUAAGUAUCGUGCCUUACUUCAAUCUGAUGAAGAUGGUGAGCAGGAUGGUGGUCAGGAUAUGGAAGUGACUUUCAAUACUGGCUUAGAAGAUAUAAGCAAGCGCAUCCUGGAAAAGAAGGAUAAGAAGUCUGAGACAUUAUGGGAGGCUCAUCUGAGGAAAAAACGUG
rnacentral:misc_RNA from 1 species